GGAUCUUCCUGACCCAGGGAUCGAACCCUGGUCUCUUGCAUUGCAGGCGGAUUCUGAGUUACCAGGGAAGGCCAACAGAGACGGAAUCCAGGAACUGAGUCUCCAGGCUCAUGUGGAGGACAGGACAGCAGACGAAGAGUUAAAAAAGACAGAGCUGGGGUUAAACUUUCCAUCCAGCUCCCCAAGCUGACCCCUUCCUCUCCUCCCCCUCGGGGGCUUCAUCUUCACCUGCCACUCAAAGGGCCAAAGACUCUCGGAGACUACUGGGUCCACCUCUCCUUGGUCCAGAUGGGGAAACUGAAGCCCAAGGACCAGAUCUGAUGCCAAACCAUUCAGCAAGUCAGGAGCACUCAACCAGGCAGUGCCCACCACCAGCUCUGAAAAGGAACACUGGAGUCCCUUCUUAGACAAUUCAUAUUUUUAUACUGAGAAAAUGGAGAAAAGACGCUCAGGGCCUUGCUGGAGCUCCCAGCAAGUCAGCGGCAGAUCCAAGAUUGCCCCAGACUCCUGGCCAGCACUCAAAAAACCAGCACAAGACCUUCCUCAGCCUGAAGGAAGGAAAGUAACGUGGACAAAAUCUGAGUUUAGGAGGACCCUUCACUAGUCCAAGGCUGCUGGAGAAGGGUUGGGGGAGGAGGGGUGGGGAGAGAUGACCUUGCUGUGGUUACCCCGGCCCAGGAAGUGACCCUUUGCUCCAGACUCCGAGAACAGGUACUUAUCUACUGCUGGACAGGGGGGAAAUGGCCAGGGCUAAGGCCGAGGGCCUCAUGCUGCCUAUGGCCUGUGAAUCCGAUGUUUCUAGGCCACACCAUGACCAUGGAGGGAGUCCUGGGGCCUUGGGAUGGGCGAUGAGGCACCUCUGAGUGGCGUGUUUUCGCAGCUCUUCUGGGUUUUCCCCUUCAGGUGGAGAUUAGCAGGGAUGCAGGCUCAGCCACUUUCUAUGGCUGUGAGGGGGGCCCUUAGCUAGACCCCAGACACAUGCAAGUGGCCCAAAUCCCACCCAGGGUCCAGUUUGCUGAGGUCCCUGGUGGUUGCCUCUGGUCUACAUUAAGCAGUUGCCCAUGGGGUACUUUGAGGGCCUAGCCAGGGAGCACAGUGAUGAAAAGACAUGGUGGAGUAGAGAAAGAGGAAGAAGGGACCACUUUGCUUGUGUGUAGGCAGCAGAGAGGAGAGAGAUCGAGGUAAGUUUCUCAGACGAGCUGAGGUCUUGAAGGAUGACUAGGAGUUUUCCAGGAGAAGAAUUAGAAGGAAGAGGGAAAGGAGAGGAGAGAGACUGGGCAUUCCAAGACAGAGCAGAGAGUUUCAAAACAUAUGAGGGCCAGGACAGGAACAGAGAGAAUCGACUAUGGCCAGAGGUCGGGUUAGAGGGGUGUUGGCGGGACAAAGAGGAAAGUCAUGAAGAACUGUGGACGUUUCAGUUCAGUUCAGUCGCUCAGUCGUGUCCGACUCUUUGCGACCCCAUGAAUCGCAGCACGCCAGGCCUCCCUGUCCAUCACAAACUCCUGGAGUUUACUCAAACUCAUGCCCAUCGAGUUGGUGAUGCCACCCAGCCAUCUCAUCCUCUGUCAUCCGCUUCUCCUCCUGCCCCCAAUCCCUCCCAGCAUCAGGGUCUUUUCCAAUGAGUCAACUCUUCACAUCAGGUGGCCAAAGUAUUGGAGUUUCAGCUUCAGCAUCAGUCCUUCCAAUGAACACCCAGGAUUGAUCUCCUUUAGGAUGGACUGGUUGGAUCUCCCUGCAGUCCAAGGGACUCUCAAGAGUCUUCUCCAAGACCACAGUUCAAAAGCAUCAAUUUUUCAGCGCUCAGCUUUCUUCACAGUCCAACUCUCACAUCCAUACAUGACUACUGGAAAAACCAUAGUCUUGACCAGCCAGACCUUUGUUGGCAAAGUAAUGUCUCUGCUUUUUAAUAUGCUAUCUAGGUUGGUCAUAACUUUCCUUCCGAGGAGUAAGCGUCUUUUAAUUUCAUGGCUGCAGUGAUUUUGGAGCCCCCAAAAAUAAAGUCUGACACUGUUUCCACUGUCUUCCCAUCUAUUU